rnacentral:lncRNA from 1 species
UACUUAGACAAAAGCCCACCUGAGAGCUGCCUCCUUUUUUGUGGGUAAAUAUAGCAGCAGGAUCAAAAGCUGACUUACUUAUUUUGUUUUCCUCUUUGUAACUUUAAUCAUAGUCCCUGCAGGACAAUCUUAGUCCUCAGAGAUGUCAGGAAUGCACAUUCAUAAUGAAAGAAAUAAUUAUGCAUGUUUUUUUUCUUUCUCUCUUCACAAACCAAUUUCCUUUCGCUCACUAGUUUUGAAAUCUCAAAUAAAGCAAAUGAAUUCUUCACAUGAUUUAUAAAGUAUCAUUAUUAGCAUAAAACAAUGUUACCUUACAAAUUGUAUGCCCCCCCCCAAAAAAAAAUAUGUUUUCCCUCUCAUCUUUUCCCCCUGCAAACCAUAUUCUCGUAAUGCUAAAUCUGAAUUUCCAUCUAAAAGUACUGGAUGUUCUUCUGGCUGUGUAUAGUUAUACAACAAAUCACUCCAAAAUUGAAACACUUAAAACAACAACCAUUUUACCAUAUCUCACAAUAUUAUAGGUCAGUAAUUUGAGCAUGGCUGACUAGGUAAUCCUUCUGGUCCAUGUGACUUUAAUGAUGGCUGGUCUGGAAGAUCCAAGACGGAUUCACAGGGCUGAAUCUGUGCCUAAAUAUGCUGGCCUUUCCAGCAUGCUGGUCAAAAAGUACUCAGACUUCCUACAUGGACCCUCAGGAAUCCAGAGACUGCUGUAAGAGGCUUAUGCCCAUUUGCUAGGCUUAAUACCUAGCCCCCAAAUCCCUAGAACAUCCUAGUCACUACAUUCUAAUAUUGGCCAAGCAAGUCAUGAAGGCCAGCUCAGAUUUAAGGGAGAGAUAUUAGACUCCACCCCUCGGUGAAAGAAAUAAUGUAGAAUUCAUUUGCUGUGUCUCUUAAGUCUUUUAUAAUCCCUAGCUAUCCUGCCC